GCACUGUGUGCCGCGCCGCGGGAUAGCGGGCCUCGGGUCUGCGCGACUGUCGAGAGCGGCGGGAUCCCCAGGGAUCCCGGAGGCCAGGGGCACACCCUCCCCGAAAACACGUGGGGCUAGCCCAGUCCCAGAGGAACUCUAACGUUUCAAACCUGGAGGCGGGAGGCGGGAGGCCGGUGAGAAGGGGCUACGCCGCCGGGCCCCCCUCCCGCAGCAGCCACGGGCCGGGCCUCACCUGCCGGUUCCCACCCACACCUUUCCCGGUUGUAGUUUCUGCGCUCAGCGAACAAGGUCAGGAAAGACCACAAAUGCAAGCGGCUGUAUUCUCCUAGGCAGCUUGUCUGGGCAACGGAGGUCCCACACCCCAAAGAGGACCCAGCAAAUCUUUAAUGGACUGCGGGGCCUAGGAAACUGGCCCGUCCCUCCUACCCAUACCAGCACCAAGCAGAGCACCUUUGCCUGGAUAAACCGACUUUAAUAUUUAUGAUUGCCAAGAGGCUGAGAGUCCUUUUAUGAGGUCCGGUACCUCCAAACAAGACGUGUUCAUGUAGUCUUCAAACUGGCCUGGAGGGGGCAGCUCCAGCCAGUCGGAGGCGCCCAGGAGGAAGGCCUGGCUCCAGCAGGAGGGCCCACAGUCCAGUCUCUGUUGUCGGCUAAAGCUGGUCUUGCGCCGUCAGCCUCUACCCUGGCCUCCCCAGGCUCUGGGAUGGCUCAGAGGUUGCCGUCAUUGGGUUUCAGCAAAAAUAAAUAUUGUCCAGGUGUCCCUGCCUCCCAUUGCGUCCCCUGUGCUGCUGGAGUGACAUGCUCCUUGGAGAAGUUAGUAACUCUGCAGGUAGGGUGGGUGGUGACAACGCCCACUACACGCGGAAGUUGUACAUUGGAGGCUGGCGAAGUUGGGAGCAGAGGCAUAUCCAUAGGGGAAGCUGGCAGGGGCUGGGCCCACGGCAGGGCCUGCAGAGGGGGAAGCCCACAAUGAGCAGAGCUCUUCCUGCCCAUGGGGGUCCUCUCCUGGCUGCCCCUGAGUAGCCCGGGGCCCAGGGAGCAGGGUCUAUAGGACCAGCCCUUACCACCCAGACGCUGAGGCCCCAAGAGAGCAGGCAUCCAGAGGCAAGGAGCGUGGGGUCAGCCAGAGAACCUGGCCUGGCUAGAGGAUAAGCUAGUCUCCAAAUGGGACACUUACUUAGUGCAAUCAGCUGGGUCUCAUUCAUGCCCAUCAAAAUCUAAAAAAACCAGAAUGACAUUAAUGGUGGAAGGACACACUCAGCCGGACGCUGGAGACCCGCCGGCGUGCUGCACACUCACACCACACCCUCAGGCCUGUGUUUGCCCCACAGUGUCCAAGCACCCCACAGCCUCUCCAGUCUGCUCGACAGCCAGGCUGCCCUGGGCAGGUUCUCAGGUGCAAAGCCCCUCCCAGCACACACCAGCAGCAGCCUUGCUGUCCAGGGGCCAGGCCCAGCAGGACACAGCAGUAGUUCACAGCUAGGCAGGCACCCCUAUCAGAAGGCAGGCAUCCUUACAGCAGGGAGGACAGCGGCCGUGCCAACAUUCCUGGGCGUACACUUCUCCACACCCAGUAGCCACUGGGAUCCUUCCAGCCCCCACCCAUCUAUUCCCAUCCCCAUCCAAAGCCCAGCCAGGUAAGGGCAGUGGGACUUUGACUCCCUCCCUGCUCCCUCCCCAGGGGGUUGGGGGCUACAGGUGCCACCUACCAAACACGAGAGGGGCAGGCUCUGUCACAUGCUCCUCUUGCUUGCGCAGACUCUCCAAGGCAUCCAGUUUGUCCACCUGCAAGGAGGCAAAAGCACGUGAGCACCCGCUUGACAGAGUGCAGUCCGGCCUCUAGGUGAAAGUGGAGUGGAAGGUCAGGACACAGGGCCUCCAGGAGAAUGACAGUGGAGGAGGUGCACAUGGGCAGAUGUGGAGUGGCUCAGCCCACACCCCAUGCACUUUUAGAAUGCAGCAAGGCAUGGAGAGGUGAAGCCUCGGUAGCUGGGCUGAGAUGGAACGCCAGGUGGGGCCCCCAGAGCUUCCCAGUGGGCACUGGGGCAGUCAGUUGUUACAGGCUGUGCAUGUGGCCUGCUUAUGGGGGGCCAAGUCCUCCUCUGGAUACAGGGACACUGCCACUUACCGACCUGCAGGGCUGGGGCCAUGUGCAGGGAACACUGUCUGCUUCUGGCUCUGGCCAGUCUAGUUUGCCCGCCCCUCCAAACCAGCAGAGAGAUCAUGUGGCUCUCAGAGACAAGUCACCUGGCACCUAGACACUUCACCUGAGAAGCACUGAGGACAAACUGCCUCCUCACUCUUCCCUGAGGCUUCACCAGGCACUGACCCCACCCACUGCCAGAGAGCGAGGCGGCAGCACUGCACUAGAGGGGCGGCAGCAACUGUGCAGCUAGGAUCCCCUCACAAACACACUGAGUAAGAAAGAGAAAUAAGAAUGUGCCCCCCAUGAGCUGGGGUCUGGGGGGGGCUGAGAAAUGAGGAGGAAGCAGGGGGCACACUUGCUGACACCUAGGGUGAGGGCUGAGCUAGGCCUGUACCCUCCCUACAAUGGGAGAGCGCUGGGGGCGUCUCAGAGGGAUGGCCCUCAAGCUUCCCAGAUGAGCCACGAGGCCCCAGGCCCAGCUGUCCACCAGGAAAGGACUGUGCUUCUUGUCCGCGCCCUCAUUCUCCCAGCACUGCUGUGUGGUGUCAGCUGAGCACCAGCUCAAGCUGACAAUCAGCUCACACCCCCAUGCCACUGACUGGGAAACCCCUUGCCAGCCCCCUCCUCUCCUUGAACUCUCCCCAUGACAGGCGUCUCAUCUGCCCCAGCAGGAAUAGGUGGGUGGCAGCAGAGAAGGUGCUCCAGCAGCCACCACCUCCCAGGGCCAGUGGAGUCUGGGAACCCUGGGCCAAGGCUGUGCAGCCACAGUGUGGACCAACGUGAUAGUGGCUGCUAACUCCAUCAUCCGCAACAGAAAGGGAAUGUGCGCCUCAAAGUCCUGGGGGAUCCCCACAAGCACUUUGACCCCCACAGCAAUGACACUCCCUAGGGCCUGGUGAGCCUGAGUUCCUCUGACACUAACCCACGGGCCUCUACUGCCAGGAAGAGAUUCAAGCACUUUCUUUCCUUGUGCUGGUUCUCAGAACACAGACUACUUUCAGGAAAGACACCCGAGGGAUGGGAAAACCUGCUCAUCAUGGUGACAGCAGCUUCCACAGGCACGCACCAGACACCGCACACCACACACUGCAUACCACAAACCACAUACCACACGUGCCGCCUGUAGGGAGUUGCCAUCCACUGUGGUGGGGGAACCAGGGCCCUUGUCAAUCCAACCAGUCCAUGUCCCCUGGCAGCCCACGAAUCUCAGGCCACGUAGCCAGGGCUGUCCCUUCCUCCCCAACCCUUGAGAGUCAUCAGGGAGUCUCACUCAGGCAUGCUAUGCAGAUGGGAUGGGGUCACACUGUCCUACAGGAGGGCAACGGCCUUGAAUGGACUCUGGGAUGGCCUUUAUCAGGGGCUGGGCAGCCCCCUGGAGGCUCUGCAGGCGGCAGGCAGCCCUCCAGGCUAAAGCUGGCAGCAUGAGCCCGCCUUCCUGUUUCCUUCCUACCUCCCACUCACCUGGGAGGCCCCUCCCUUCCCUCGCUCCACUGAGUGAUGCUUCAGCAUGAGUGCCUUCCGAGGCUCUCCAUCUGGCUUGAAGGAGGUUAGAUAGGCAAGUAGAUGCUACUGGAAGUAGCUUUUCCAGUGUUAGAAACAACAAACUGUACCAGAUGACACUGCUGACACAGGUCUCUGGACAGUGGCUAAAGCUAGAUCCCAGCAGGGACUCCUAGGACUUCAACACCCAGGGAGAGUUUUACAAUCAAGUACUGUCACUUCGAUGAGGCAGAGAGUCAUCCUCCCUAUAGCUGUUAGAAGGAUUCAGUGGAUCUGUGAAUACUCCUACUAUGUGUUCAGCAAAAGGCAGCUACCACCAACCGUAUGCUAACAGCUGCACCCCCAGACGCCACUGGGAGCUCCUCAGGGAGCUGGGAUUGCCAGCCACCUCACUGUCACCUUGUUGAAGUCCAGGGCUGGGGAUGAGCACGCCUGUUGUGCUCCUAGCAGUGUGCACAUUGGGACAGCUGCCCAGCCAGAGUCUACAGGAGGGCUGCUGCCAGUGGGCACUCCCCAUGAUGAUUUUCUGGAGGGGCUUAACGUUGGGCAGAAAACCACUUCAGCAUGAAGGAAAGCAGCCACUCCUGAAGGCAGCCAGGGCUGGCUGGGGAAUCUGGGUUGGCCUCAAAGGGGCCCACCCUUAAGACCUGCGGCCAGAGUCACUGCCAGGGUUGGGUCAUGCCACACAGGGGCCGGGGAGCUGCAGCCGGCCCGGCACCUACCUUGCUCAGGUACUCCCUCAUCACCUGGAUGAAGUAGGGCAUGGCCAAGUCCACGAGGUUGUGCCUCCAGGCCAGCUCAAGCACCAUGUCUGGGCGAAGCAGGUCAUAGCAGGUGAAGAGACAAGCUGCGAAGCACUCCCUCUUGCCUUCCUCCAGGAACCACUGCAGCAACUUCUGGGCCAGCUCAGCAUCCCGCGACUCUGCAGCAUGCUGCAUGGCAUCCUGCAGCCAAGGCAAAUGCUUGCUUGGGCAUCCUGCAGGCAGAGGCUUUGUGCCUGCAGCAGCUGGGCCGGAGGGCAGGGAGUGGCACUAGACUCCACCAAGGACUUCCUGCGCUGUGGAGCAAGCCUGGACCCAUGGCUGGGCCAUUCCCUAUGCCCUGCUGCCCACUGGUGAAACGGAGAUGCCACCUCCGGAGGCUCUGGAGGGGACAGGUGGCUCACGGAGGCGCAGGUGCCCUGGGAGACAGGAACUCUAGCCCCGAGGGCAGAGGGCGUGCACAGGCUGCUCUGAGGAAGGCACUGAUGGGAGUUUGGGGGUUGUGGGGCUGCUGCAGAGGUGCUGCACUCAGGUCCAUGGAGCGUGUGACACCAGGGGAGCAGUUAGGAGGGGUACGGCUACUGCUCUAGAAACAGCAAUGUGUUUUUCUUUCAAGUGGCUCAAAAACCCCUAACUGCUAUUUUCAUCCUUGCAAAUGUAUUUGUCUAAGACAAUAUCAUUGACAAAAUAACACCUGCACCUGACCAGUCCUGAAGAAGCCUGCACUUUCUGUGGCCAUUCUCUAUUUUCUAGCUCCACAGCAGGCACUGGAUCACCUGAUUCCUUCUAUGGCAGGGGCUAUUAGUACCCCAUUCAGAGACCAGGAACCUGAGACCCAGAUGUAGUCACUUGCCCAGGGCCACUCCACCUGGAGUUGGCCAUGAUCCACUGACUGUGACCUGUGCUCUCCAGGGAUACCCUGUGGCGGUCCCAGCUCUGCAUGCCUGCCAUCGCCUGCAGCACACACCUCUGAGUUCCGUUUGGGAGACCCCUGAGGACGCCCAGUGCCCACAUCUGCAUGGACCCGAUGUGCUGAGCUGGCUCCGGAAAGAAGUCUCCCCCGCUGGCAUGCUGCUCAUCGAUCGCUGCCUCCUGACCCACACUGUUCCUACAAAGGCACCAGGAUUCUGACCCUCAGGUGAGAGCUCCAGGUGCCUUUGGGUCUCCGCUUUGAGGACCUGUGACGCCCGCUCAUCUGUCUCCCUGCCGUGCCCUCCACCGGCCCAGCCUACCCUUGCUGACUUGUCUUCCACAUGUGCCUAAAGUGGGCCCUGCUCUGUUCCUCCUCUGUGGGCCUUGGGGACUGUCUCACUGCCUUCCCAGAGGACUUCCAGUAGAAGCAGCCCCCAGGAAGCUCCCAGUCAGUGUCCCGCUCCUGCGGCCUGGAGCCCAGCUCGAGUCAGGCUCUCCCACACCCUCCUCUCUCAUCACCUCCCCGGCCCAUGCCACUCUCAGGGAGGCUUCAUCCUGGUCCCCAUCCCUGUGUCCAGCUCUCCAGUCUACACCUGUACUUCCGCAGGCCCCUGCUCUUCACUGGUGGGUGUGGGAGGGCCCCACUGACCGAACUUUCAUUUAAAUGCUACUUCUGUCAUCUGGAAAUACAGUUUUCUGUUGCUAGCUGGCUUUGCCCUGACUGGACACGCUGUGACCUGGCCACUCCUCCAGGAAGACUCCAGGAGGCUUCAGCUCUGGCCUCAGGGCAGGCUCCUCCAGUGGCAGUGCUGACCUUGGGAGGUCUGGGGAGCCGCCUGUGCACUGGGGCUUGUGGGCCCCAUC
rnacentral:lncRNA from 1 species